rnacentral:rRNA from 1 species
AACGAACGCUGGCGGCAGGCUUAACACAUGCAAGUCGAACGCCCCGCAAGGGGAGUGGCAGACGGGUGAGUAACGCGUGGGAACAUACCCUUUUCUACGGAAUAGCUCUGGGAAACUGGAAUUAAUACCGUAUACGCCCUACGGGGGAAAGAUUUAUCGGGGAAGGAUUGGCCCGCGUUGGAUUAGCUAGUUGGUGGGGUAAAGGCCUACCAAGGCGACGAUCCAUAGCUGUGCUGAGAGGAUGAUCAGCCACAUUGGGAAUGAGACACGGCCCAAACUCCUACGGGAGUCGGCAGUUGGGAAUAUUGGACAAUGGGCGAAAGCCUGAUCCAGCCAUGCCGCGUGAGUAAUGAAGGCCUUAGGGUUGUAAAGCUCUUUCACCGAUGAAGAUAAUGACGGUAGUCGGAGAAGAAGCCCCGGCUAACUUCGUGCCAGCCGCCGCCGUAAGAC